rnacentral:rRNA from 1 species
AUUAAUGUGUUAAGCCUGAAUUAUUAGUAGUUAAGUUCUUGAAAAUUAAGAAAGAUGGCGGUAUUUUAGUCUAUUCAGAGGAAUCUGUCCUGUAAUUGAUAUUCCACGAUUUAAAUUACUUAAGAUUUUAGCUUACAUAUCGCUGUCAAUUGAAUAUUUUUAUUGAAUUUUAAUAUUCAUGGUUUUGAGAGAAAGAAUAUCAAGUCAAGAUGUAGCUUAUUUUUAAGAAGAGAUGGAUUACAUUAUUUAUAUAUUUUGGUUAGUUUUCUGAAAUGGGGAUUAUAAAUUGGAUUUGAAAGUAAUUUAUUAUUAAAAUUUAAUAGAUGAUUAUAGCUCUAAAAUA